GGGGAGAUACCAGAGUGGCCAAAUGGGGCAGACUGUAAAUCUGUUGUCUUACGACUUCGGUGGUUCGAAUCCACCUCUCCCCA
rnacentral:tRNA from 1 species